UACUUUUCAUGCUUAUAUGCUCAUGAUUGGUUCAUUUUUUGAAAUCUGAUUCAUUUGAGCAUUCUUACUUGACUACCUAUUAUUUUGUCUGCUUUACAUAUGAGUACAUGUUGUAUAUGUACUCAGUAAGGCACAGUUGUCUUUUGUCUGCUUUAUAUGCCAGUACAUGUUGUAUAUGUACUGGCAUCCCUACAUUUGGGGAAUAUAGGGUCAGGUUCACAUGACAACAGAUAUGCUCAGUAAGGCACAGUUGCCAUUUCAGCUAAUUUUUGGUGAGCUUCAUAGCCUCUAUCUGGAGCCAUAAGAUGUCUUAUCGUCUUGGCUAUAUAUUACAGUUGAAUCUUUCUUGUUCGCACCUGCUGGGCUGGGGGCAUGACAAAUCGCACCUUAUAACAACAUUGCGGAGCGGAACAUUUGAAAUUAAAAAGAAAUUUAAUGAAGAGUACUGAAAUCAGUUUACAAAAAUCAGAUUUUCUCUUCCAAAACUUGGGCAUAAAAUCAUGGGUAUGUUUAAAGUCCAAAUAUGUUAUAUUUCGAAAUUAUUUUUAUGCUUAGUAAAUAAGUAAAAGUAUCUAUGAAUCGAGUAAUAUGAGGUCUUAUAUAAAAGUAAUAUGUAUGGUUAGUGAUUUUCCCAAGUAAGAACAAGAGUACUAAAUCUUUUUACUGAUGGAAGGCACCAGUAAGAAUAAGGGUUGGAAAAUUCAGCUGACUCAAAAUUGGGGAUGAAACUUAUUAGUUAAUUGCAACAACAUGACGAAAGGGAGUUGCUCGGAUGCCCACAAAGCUGCAAUUUUGAAGAGUGGAAAGAAAGCACCGUAAAGCUGAAUUCAGAUUUGCUACUCAGCUCCCCAAUGGUGCUUCAAUAAAUCAAUUAAGCUUAACCGGUUUUCAGCUGCAAAAUUCAUCAUUUGCUUGUGC